UUGAAAGGGAAACGAUUGAAGUCAGUCAUGCUAAUAGGGAAUCAACUUGAUGGUUCGUUCCUCUGGGAGCGAUCUUUCUUGUGCACUUCCUUGUUCGGCAGGUUAGCAUCAAUUUCGGUUGUCAUCAAAAAAUUGAGGGAAUGUGACUUCCUUUGGGAAGUGUUAUAGACCUUAAUAUAUGUGGUGACCGGGAUUGAGGAUUGCAGCGGAUGCUUUUAAGGCUAGUCACCUACCUUCUGACGGUUACCCUGCUUUUGAUAGCUUGCUAACGAAUGUGGGAUUUAACAGUUUUAGAUGUUGGAGUGAUCUUAUAUUCGCUAAGGAUGCUGACGUAAUGGCUUUAAACGACCCGUCUUGAAACACGGACCA
rnacentral:rRNA from 1 species